UUGCAAAAUAACUCUCAGUGC
rnacentral:piRNA from 1 species